UCUGAAGAAGUCUCACUCCGCCUCGAUCGAUCUCGCUCCCUCCCUGACACUCAUAGCCACACCACCCGAUUCACCUAAUAUGGAGAAUCCGAAUCGUUUCCAUGUUUCCAGCCCUAAUCCUCCAAUCUAUCUCGCCCUUCCUACCAUCCUCCGCCCCGCGGCCGCACGGCCGACUGCUGCCUACCUCCGUGAUUCCAACGGCGUCCAUUACCUCUGCUUGCAGGCUGAGACAGGCAAUUGACACAGCGCAAAGUCGUUAACAUCCAUCGACAUAUCAUGCAUGCUGCUCUGGAAGAGGAAGUUAUGAACCUGCAGAAGUCCAAAGUAACAUUUGCUGAUGAUGUUAUCAAUGCAGAGAAUGCAGUCCUGAAAACCAUGAACACUGACCAAUUGCUCAAUCUUUUUUGCUUCUUUACCAAUCAUUCGAAUGGUAAGUUACAUUGCUUGUUGUGCAUGUUCAAUUUCUUUCUAGAAUUGCUUUUUUAUGUAGCCAAAUCACAGUUCAUCCGAUAUAAUUAAUUUCCUUGGUCUUGGUAUUUUGACAUGAAAACAAUUGUGUAAUGAUAUGUCUGAAAGAACAUGGAGAAGGGAACUCCAGCUUCAAGCGGCUCCAGUAGAUCCAAAGCCAGUUGUUGAUGGGAAAGGUUUGGAGGCCAUUCUCAGUGGACUUGGGUUCAAGAUGGACAUUCCAAAUGUGUAAAGCUCAGUUGUACGGCCUAUCUAAAUUUGCCUAUGUUACUACUUGGAGUUGUCAACAAGGAGAUACGCUCUAUUCAAGUUAAGCGAACUCAACCCGAGGAGGUCUAAACCAAGCUCAUUUCUGAUGGAGCAUUUGACGCAACAUCGAACCUAGCGGAGACGGAUGCUGAUGCAAGGACUGCUGGAUGUUUGUUUGUCGAAUGCAAGUUCAUACAAGAUGGUAGCUGUUGGACCGACGAACAUCUGGCCGUCUAGGAAGGAAUCUCCGCUGCAAUCCAACUAGGUGUACCUAAGCUUAUUAUUGAGAUGAUGAUGAGUGGAUUGUAAUGCUUGUUAAGGAGGAACCUCCUCUUGGUUCCUCCUAAACUGUGUUCGGAAAAUUUUUGCAUCCCUUCUUAUUUUUCUUAAUCAAAAGAUGGUUUAUAUAUCUAAAGCGUGCAAUCAAUGUGUCCUGGACUCAGAAGUUUUGUCUUCCCUUUGGAUUUGUCGUGUAUUAUCUAUCAUCUUUGAUGCUAAUGGGAAACUUUGUACUCGUUUUGUUGAGGUUUAAUUAGAGCUUAUUCUCUCUCUUUUUUAA